GGGGUUGUAGCUCAGUGGUAGAGUUCUUGCCUAGCACACAUGAGGCUCUGGGUUCAAUCCUCAACACCA
rnacentral:tRNA from 1 species